CGGCUCUCCCGGUUUCCGGUUCACAGGAGAUACAAACAACUCAACUUGGUGCUUCUUUUCCUGGUGAACACCAUUGGGAUGGCAGAAUGAAGCCUGUUUCCAAGCUGAAGUAACCAAGAAGGAUGCUAUCAUUGCAAGCUGGCCUAAUCACAAAGCCUGGGAGCAGAGCUGAAGCCUCCUUUAGUCACCUGGCGCUCACUGGCUGCUAUUUCUAGAGACACUGCUGAGCCCUGGUCUACAGCCACAGCCGGUGCGGUCCCGGGAGACCCCCCAGAGUCCUAAGCCGGAGGGCUGAUUCUGGGGGCUCUAAUCAUGUCUCAUCAUCCCAGGCCCAGCCAUUUGCCAGAAAAUCCAGAAAAAGUGAUAAGAAAACAGCAGGAAAGGAUUGGAAUCCAAAUGGCCACUUGGUGAAGACCCAAAUUAGGCAUCCCAGUCUACCUGUGAGGACUGACGUAAGAUUUAGGUGCAAGCAGAAGAAUUGGGACAGUGGGGGUGGGGUCUCAUAAUAGUAAGCAGCCUUGAUUAGUGGCCCGGCUGUUCAUAUUCUCAGUUCCGGCUCUGUGAGCUAGCCUGUGGGCCACUGCAGUUUUAUUGAUAUGAUUGCACCUGCCUGGGAGAUAGUCUCAUGGGGUGACCUGCUUCUCAGCAGCUGCUGUUCCUGGAAUACCAAGUAACUGCAGGCUCAGGGCAAUGACUACAGACUUCCAGAAACCCUUUUCUGAGUCUGGAACAUGACGUUAUAAAAGCUGAUAUUAAGAUCACUCAGUUACUUGAAU